rfam:Coccomyxa subellipsoidea C-169, whole genome shotgun sequence.
GGCGCUGUGGUGUAGUGGUUAUCACUUUGGACUUUGAAUCCAACAACCCGAGUUCGACUCUCGGCAGUGCCU